GGGUGAGUAACGCGUGGGUAAUCUACCCUUGGAUUUGGGAUAACUCUGCGAAAGUGGAGCUAAUACCGGAUAGUCUGGCUUUAAAUAAGAAGUCGGUAAAGGAUGCCUCUGCAUAUGCAUUCGUCCGAGGAUGAGCCCGCGUCUCAUUAGCUAGUUGGUAGGGUAAUGGCCUACCAAGGCAACGAUGAGUAGCUGGUCUGAGAGGAUGAUCAGCCACACUGGAACUGAAACACGGUCCAGACUCCUACGGGAGGCAGCAGUGGGGAAUAUUGCGCAAUGGGCGAAAGCCUGACGCAGCAACGCCGUGUGAGGGAUGAAGGCUUUCGGGUCGUAAACCUCUGUCGGAAGGGAAGAACGGGCAUUGGUCUAAUAGGCCUUUGUUUUGACGGUACCUUUAGAGGAAGCACCGGCUAACUCCGUGCCAGCAGCCGCGGUAAUACGGAGGGUGCAAGCGUUAUUCGGAAUUACUGGGCGUAAAGCGCACGUAGGCGGCCUUGUAAGUCAGGGGUGAAAUCCCACGGCUCAACCGUGGAACUGCCUUUGAAACUGCAGGGCUUGAAUCCUGGAGAGGGUGGCGGAAUUCCUGGUGUAGGAGUGAAAUCCGUAGAUAUCAGGAGGAACACCGGUGGCGAAGGCGGCCACCUGGACAGGUAUUGACGCUGAGGUGCGAAAGUGUGGGGAGC
rnacentral:rRNA from 1 species